rnacentral:rRNA from 1 species
CGGGACGGGUGAGUAACGCGUGGGCAACCUGCCUUACACAGGGGGAUAACACUUAGAAAUAGGUGCUAAUACCGCAUAAGCGCACAGCUUUGCAUGAAGCAGUGUGAAAAACUCCGGUGGUGUAAGAUGGACCCGCGUCUGAUUAGCUGGUUGGCAGGGUAAAGGCCUACCAAGGCGACGAUCAGUAGCCGGCCUGAGAGGGUGAACGGCCACAUUGGGACUGAGACACGGCCCAAACUCCUACGGAAGGCAGCAG